rnacentral:rRNA from 1 species
CACGUAGGGUGCGAGCGUUGUCCGGAAUUAUUGGGCGUAAAGAGCUCGUAGGCGGUGUGUCGCGUCGGCCGUGAAAACCUGCAGCUUAACUGUGGGCUUGCGGUCGAUACGGGCAUCACUGGAGUUCGGCAGGGGAGACUGGAAUUCCUGGUGUAGCGGUGAAAUGCGCAGAUAUCAGGAGGAACACCGGUGGCGAAGGCGGGUCUCUGGGCCGAUACUGACGCUGAGGAGCGAAAGCGUGGGGAGCGA